rnacentral:rRNA from 1 species
GACGAACGCUGGCGGCGUGCUUAACACAUGCAAGUCGAGCGGUAAGGCCCUUUCGGGGUACGACGAGCGGCGAACGGGUGAGUAACACGUGGGUGACCUGCCCUCAGCUCUGGGAUAAGCCUGGGAAACCGGGUCUAAUACCGGAUAUGACUCCAUGACGCAUGUUGUGGGGUGGAAAGCCUUGUGCGGCUGAGGAUGGGCCCGCGGCCUAUCAGCUUGUUGGUGGGGGAUGGCCUACCAAGGCGACGACGGGUAGCCGGCCUGAGAGGGCGACCGGCCACACUGGGACUGAGACACGGCCCAGACUCCUACGGGAGGCAGCAGUGGGGAAUCUUGCGCAAUGGGCGAAAGCCUGACGCAGCGACGCCGCGUGAGGGAUGACGGCCUGG